rnacentral:rRNA from 1 species
UACAGAGAUCUCAACCGUUGUUCGGAUUCAUUGGGCGUAAAGGGUGCGUAGGCGGUCGUGCAAGUCGGAUGUGAAAUCUCAGGGCUCAACCCUGAAACUGCAUUCGAUACUGCGCGGCUAGAGUGCUGGAGGGGAGACUGGAAUUUACGGUGUAGCAGUGAAAUGCGUAGAUAUCGUAAGGAAGACCAGUGGCGAAGGCGAGUCUCUGGACAGCAACUGACGCUGAGGCACGAAGGCCAGGGGAGCAAACGGG